AGAUGAAGAGAGAUAAAGUUUUGGCUGAAAGAAGACAUCUUGGCGGUCUGAGUCGGACAGAGAAGAAAAGGAAAGAGGACAACGCUGAUCAGAAAAGACAUGAUCUAUCAAGGAGAAAUUUUUCUGCAUGACAAUCAUGGGUGGUUCUUGCCAUGUAAAAUUGUCAGAACCCUGAAAUAAACCAACAGACCCAACAAAACUAAGGAAUACAUGAGAGUUUGCUCAUGGUUAUUAAAAAGAGGAAGCGCAUGCAAACAGGAGGAGAUGAGGACGAGGAUACAAUGACACAGGAGAGGUGACUGAUGCCAGGUGAGAAGGGGAACGGGAC